CUGGCCUGGCACUCUGUCCUUAUUCUGUCCCUUUCCUGUCCCUUUCCUGUCCUUUUUCUGUCCCUUCUCUCUUCCUUUUCGUGUCCUUUUUCUCUCCCUUUUCUGUCCUUUUCCCACUCUUUUCCUGCCCUUUUCCUGCUCUUUUUCUGCCUUUUUUGUGUCCUUUUCCUGUCCCUUUUCUAUCCCUUUUACUCUCCUUUUCCUGCCCUUUCUCCAUCCUUUUCCCAUCCUUUCCCUGUCCUUUUCCAUCCUUCUUCUUUCCUCUUUUUUUUUCCUUUUCCCACCCUUUUCCUCUCCUUUUCCAUCCUUUUUCUUUCCUCCUUUUUUUUCUUUUUUCUUUCCUCCUUUUCCUACCCUUUUCCUCUCUUUUUCCUGUCCUUUUCCUGCCUUUUUUCUGUUCUCUGCUCUUUUCCUGUCCCUUUUCUUUUUUUUUUCUGCUCUUUUUCUGCUCCUUCCUGUCCAUUUCCUCUCUUUUUUCUGUGUUUUCUGCUCUUCUCCUGCCCAUUUUUUGUCCAUUUUCUGUCCUUCUUCUGUUCUUUUCCUGCCCUUUUUCUGCUGUUUUUCUGCCUUUUUUUUCUGUCCUUUUUACUCUCCUUUUCCUGCCCUUUCUCCAUCCUUUUCCCAUCCUUUCCCUGUCCUUUUCCAUCCUUUUUCUUUCCUCUUUUUUUUUCCUUUUCCUACCCUUUUCCUCUCUUUUUCCUGUCCUUUUCCUGCCUUUUUUCUGUUCUCUGCUCUUUUCCUGUCCCUUUUCUUUUUUUUUUCUGCUCUUUUUCUGCUCCUUCCUGUCCAUUUCCUCUCUUUUUUCUGUGUUUUCUGCUCUUCUCCUGCCCAUUUUUUGUCCAUUUUCUGUCCUUCUUCUGCUCUUUUCCUGCCCUUUUUCUGCUCUUUUCCUGCCCUUUUUCUGCUGUUUUUCUGCCUUUUUUUUCUGUCCUUUUUACUCUCCUUUUCCUGCCCUUUCUCCAUCCUUUUCCCAUCCUUUCCCUGUCCUUUUCCAUCCUUCUUCUUUCCUCUUUUUUUUUCCUUUUCCCACCCUUUUCCUCUCCUUUUCCAUCCUUUUUCUUUCCUCCUUUUUUUUCUUUUUUCUUUCCUUUUCCCACCCUUUUCCUCUCUUUUUCCUGCCCUUUUCCUGCCCUUCAGCCACGACUCUCCCCUUGCUCUGCCCCUCCUGGCCAGGAGCCCCAGGCUGGUGGUGGCCCCUGUGCUGCAGUGUCACUUUGGGGUUUGGGGUUUGGGGUUUGGGCACAUCCCCACCCCCAGAGCUUCUGCCAAUCCCUGCCUGCAGAAAUCAGCUCAAAGCUGGCACAGCGUGAGGAUUUUCAUGAUCUCUGUUCCUGGAGGAGUUUCAUUUGCCAGAAGGUUUCACUGGAAUGGGCUCACACUUAGCAGGGAAAAGUGCUCAGGGUGGUGCUCAGGGGAUGGGGACAGAUCAGGGGCUGGAAAACCUUUCAGGAAAAUGAAUAUUUUUUGGGGAGCAGCUGAGGGAGCUGGGAAGGGGCUCAGCCUGGAGAAGAGGAGGCUCAGGGGGGACCUUGUGGCUCUGCACAGCUCCCUGCCAGGAGGGGCAGGGAUAAAAUGAGAGGAAAUGGCCUCAAAUUGCAGCAGGGCAGGCUCAGAUCAGAAAUCAGAAAUAAUUUUUUCCCUCCCAGAGUGGUGAAGCCUUGGGCUGAGCAUUGGAGUCACUGGAAUUGCCCCAGAGCAGUUUGGGGUGAUGCUGGGGUGACCCCAAAGCUCUGCUGAUCCUGGGACUGUGGCACCUUCAUUUGUGGCUGGGUUUGUGGGUUUGUGCUGGGCUUGGUGCUCUCAGCUUUGUGUAUUCAUGGAGUGAAUAAAAACAGGGAGCUGGGAGUGGCUUAAGGACUAAACACUUCUGACCUGCACUUUCUAUUUAACUAUUACUUACCUAUUUACCUAUUUACCUAUUUAGCUAUUUAACUAUUUAACUAUUUAGCUAUUUAAUUAUUUAACUA
rnacentral:lncRNA from 12 species